UGGGGAAUAUUGGACAAUGGGGGCAACCCUGAUCCAGCAAUGCCGCGUGUGUGAAGAAGGUCUUCGGAUUGUAAAGCACUUUCGACGGGGACGAUGAUGACGGUACCCGUAGAAGAAGCCCCGGCUAACUUCGUGCCAGCAGCCGCGGUAAUACGAAGGGGGCUAGCGUUGCUCGGAAUGACUGGGCGUAAAGGGCGUGUAGGCGGUUUACACAGUCAGAUGUGAAAUCCCCGGGCUUAACCUGGGAGCUGCAUUUGAUACGUGUAGACUAGAGUGUGAGAGAGGGUUGUGGAAUUCCCAGUGUAGAGGUGAAAUUCGUAGAUAUUGGGAAGAACACCGGUGGCGAAGGCGGCAACCUGGCUCAUGACUGACGCUGAGGCGCGAAAGCGUGGGGAGCAAACAGGUUAGAUACCCUGGUAGUCCACGCUGUAAACGAUGUGUGCUAGAUGUUGGGUAACUUU
rnacentral:rRNA from 1 species